rnacentral:rRNA from 1 species
UUACCCGCUGAAUUUAAGCAUAUCAAUAAGCGGAGGAAAAGAAAAUAACAAUGAUUCCCUUAGUAACGGCGAGUGAAGCGGGAAGAGCCCAGCACCGAAUCCCCCGGCCGUGUGGUCGACGGGACCUGUGGUGUUUGGGAGUGUCUUUGGUGCGCUGGCGCGGUGUUUGAGUCCUCCUGAUCGGGGCUUGUUCCCAGAGCGGGUGUAAGGCCUCUACUGCACUAAGCCGCGUGUCUCUGGCGCUCUCUGGAGUCGGGUUGUUUGAGAAUGCAGCCCAAAGUUGGAGGUAAACUCCUCCUAAGGCUAAAUACGGGCGCGAGUCCGAUAGCGAACAAGUACGGUGACGGAAAGUUGAAAAGCACUUUGAAGAGAGAGUUGGAAAGUACGUGAAACCGUUUACAGGUAAACGGAUAGGACCGCAAUGUCGGCGGCGGGGAUUCAAGUCUGCGGCGUGCCCCACUCGGAGUCUGGCGACACGGUUGCGUGCGUUGGUACUGAGUGUGUGUGUGCGUUGGGGGCUGCACUUUCCCGCUCGCUGAGCGCUACGACCGUUUGACUGGCAGCCGGAAGUCCUCGACCAUAGGUAGUCCGCAUUUGCUCGCAAGGGUACGUGCGGGAACUUAUAGGGUCGGGUGAUACUGGCCUGCUGGGCGAGCGAGGAACUUGGGCCGCGCGGAGCGGGCGCAUUGUCGCUGGUCGACGUUCGACUGCCGAGGACUGCUUGCAGUGCUUGGCGACUGCGUUUGGCUAGGUCAGGCAGGCGUCUGCCCGUGCCACUGGGUCAGUGGCGUACUGUCGGCACCCUAUCCGACCCGUCUUGAAACACGGACCAAGGAGUCUAACAUGUGCGCGAGUCAAAGGGCGUUACUAAACCCCAGGGCGAAAUGAAAGUGAACGUAGGUGCGAUCCGGGUCGUCUUGCGGCUUGGCGCAGCACCGCCCCGUCGCGAGGCCUUUUUGUU